GUAGGUGGCAAGCGUUGUCCGGGAAUUAUUGGGGCGUAAAGCGCGCGCAGGCGGUUCUUUAAGUCUGAUGUGAAAGCCCACGGGCUCAACCGUGGAGGGUCAUUGGAAACUGGAGAACUUGAGUACAGAAGAGGAAAGCGGAAUUCCACGUGUAGCGGUGAAAUGCGUAGAGAUGUGGAGGAACACCAGUGGCGAAGGCGGCUUUCUGGUCUGUAACUGACGCUGAGGCGCGAAAGCGUGGGGAGCAAACAGGAUUAGAUACCCUGGUAGUCCACGCCGUAAACGAUGAGUGCUAAGUGUUAGGGGGUUUCCGCCCCUCAGUGCUGCAGCUAACGCAUUAAGCACUCCGCCUGGGAGUACGGCCGCAAAGGCUG
rnacentral:rRNA from 1 species